rnacentral:rRNA from 1 species
CCAGACUCCUACGGGAGGCAGCAGUGGGGAAUAUUGCACAAUGGGGGAAACCCUGAUGCAGCAACGCCGCGUGAGUGAAGAAGUAUUUCGGUAUGUAAAGCUCUAUCAGCAGGGAAGAAGAUGACGGUACCUGAAUAAGAAGCCCCGGCUAACUACGUGCCAGCAGCCGCGGUAAUACGUAGGGGGCAAGCGUUAUCCGGAUUUACUGGGUGUAAAGGGAGCGCAGACGGCAGUGCAAGCCAGGAGUGAAAGCCCGGGGCCCAACCCCGGGACUGCUCUUGGAACUGCGCGGCUGGAGUGCGGGAGGGGCAGGCGGAAUUCCUGGUGUAGCGGUGAAAUGCGUAGAUAUCAGGAGGAACACCGGUGGCGAAGGCGGCCUGCUGGACUGCGACUGACGUUGAGGCCCGAAAGCGUGGGGAGCAGACAGGAUUAGAUACCCUGGUA